rnacentral:rRNA from 1 species
GAAUCUCAACAACGGAUAUCUCGGCUCUUGUCACGAUGAAGAACGUAGCGAAAUGUGAUACUUAGUGUGAAUUGCAAAAUCUCGUGAAUCAUCGUGUUUUUGAACACAAUUUGAGCCUGAGGCUUCGGUCGAGGGCACGUCUGUCUGGGUGUCA